rnacentral:piRNA from 1 species
UUGCUCUUUAGCAAGGCUCACUAUUCGG